rnacentral:rRNA from 1 species
UAGAGUUUGAUCCUGGCUCAAGACGAANGCUGGCGGCGUGCUUAACACAUGCNAGUCUAAGGAGAACGGAUUCUUCGGAAUUCUAUUAAACUGGCGAACGGGUGAGUAUCGCGUAGACUACUUGCCNAGAGGAUUGGGAUAACACCGAGAAAUUGGUGCUAAUACCGAAUAACAUCACAUUAACCCUGGUUUUUGUGAUCAAAGGUGGCUUCGGCUACUGCCUUUGGAUGGGUCUGCGUCUGAUUAGCUAGUUGGUAAGGUAAUGGCUUACCAAGGCGACGAUCAGUAGCUGGUUUGAGAGGAUGAUCAGUCACACUGGAACUGAGACACGGUCCAGACUCCUACGGGAGGCAGCAGUGGGGAAUAUUGCACAAUGGACGAAAGUCUGAUGCAGCAACGCCGCGUGGAGGAUGACACAUUUCGGUGCGUAAACUCCUUUUAUAUGAGAAGAAAAUGACGGUAUCAUAUGAAUAAGCGCCGGCUAACUCCGUGCCAGCAGCCGCGGUAAUACGGAGGGCGCAAGCGUUACUCGGAAUCACUGGGCGUAAAGAGCGUGUAGGCGGGUAUUUAAGUUGGAAGUGAAAUCCUAUGGCUCAACCAUAGAACUGCUUCCAAAACUGAAUACCUAGAAUAUGGGAGAGGUAGAUGGAAUUUCUGGUGUAGGGGUAAAAUCCCGUAGAGAUCAGAAGGAAUACCGAUUGCGAAGGCGAUCUACUGGAACAUUAUUGACGCUGAGACGCGAAAGCGUGGGGAGCAAACAGGAUUAGAUACCCCUGGUAGUCCACGCCCUAAACGAUGUACAUUUAGUUGUUGCGAUGCUAGACAUUGCAGUAAUGCAGUUAACACAUUAAAUGUACCGCCUGGGGAGUACGGUCGCAAGAUUAAAACUCAAAGGAAUAGACGGGGACCCGCACAAGCGGUGGAGCAUGUGGUUUAAUUCGACGAUACGCGAAGAACCUUACCUGGCCUUGACAUAGAAAGAAUUUAGCAGAGAUGUAAAAGUGCUAGUUUACUAGAGCUUUCAUACAGGUGCUGCACGGCUGUCGUCAGCUCGUGUCGUGAGAUGUUAGGUUAAGUCCUGCAACGAGCGCAACCCUCGUGUUUAGUUACUAACAGUUCGGCUGAGGACUCUAGACAUACUGCCUGGGCAACCAGGAGGAAGGUGAGGACGACGUCAAGUCAUCAUGGCCCUUACGGCCAGGGCUACACACGUGCUACAAUGGGGUAUACAAAGAGCCGCAAUACCGCGAGGUGGAGCAAAUCUCAUAAAAUAUCUCCCAGUUCGGAUUACACUCUGCAACUCGAGUGUAUGAAGUUGGAAUCGCUAGUAAUCGUAGAUCAGCAAUGCUACGGUGAAUACGUUCCCGGGUCUUGUACUCACCGCCCGUCACACCAUGGGAGUUGAAUUCAUUCGAAGCGGGGAUGCUAAAAUAGCUACCUUCCACAGUGGAUUUAGUAACUAGGGUGAAGUCGUAACAAGGUAACCA